rnacentral:rRNA from 1 species
GAUGAACGCUGGCGGCGUGCUUAACACAUGCAAGUCGGACGAAGCAAUAGCGGCAGAAGCCUUCGGGUGGAAGCUGGUAUUGACUGAGUGGCGGACGGGUGAGUAACGCGUGGGUAACCUGCCUCAUACAGGGGGAUAACAGUUGGAAACGACUGCUAAUACCGCAUAAGCGCACAAGGACCGCAUGGUCUGGUGUGAAAAACUCCGGUGGUAUGAGAUGGACCCGCGUCUGAUUAGCUGGUUGGUAAGGUAACGGCUUACCAAGGCGACGAUCAGUAGCCGACCUGAGAGGGUGACCGGCCACAUUGGGACUGAGACACGGCCCAAACUCCUACGGGAGGCAGCAGUGGGGAAUAUUGCACAAUGGGGGAAACCCUGAUGCAGCGACGCCGCGUGAUUGAAGAAGUAUUUCGGUAUGUAAAGAUCUAUCAGCAGGGAAGAAAAUGACGGUACCUGACUAAGAAGCCCCGGCUAACUACGUGCCAGCAGCCGCCGUAACAC